rnacentral:lncRNA from 1 species
CGAGGGCUCGAAUACAUAAGCUCGAAAACACAAGAGUCAGCGGAAGCAACAAUAUCUGAGUACAGACAUAAGUUAGACAAGUUUUGCCUUAAGAAGGCUACCACAAAAGAAACAUUGAUCAAAAAGGCAAGGCCUCCUGCAUGGGAGCCUCCUAACUACUCCUGGUCGUCGGCGGCCUCCACGUAGUAGUAAGCACCCUCAUGGUAGUAGUAGUCAUCGUCGAAGGUGGCGUCUGGAUCCUGGGCUCCACCAUCUGGUUGCAGCUUCUGGGAAGAAUGGAAAGAGGUGGAAAAAGGGGAGCAAAGCAACCGUGAGUACUCAUCCAAAGUACUCGCAAGCAACGAUCUACACUACAUAUGCAUCGGUAUCAAUGACAUGGGCUGUAUAUGUGGACUGAACUGCAGAAUGCCAGAAGAGAAGGGGAAAACCUAGCCUAUCGAAGACUAGCAUCUUCAAGCAGCUCCAAGCAUCUUGCAGCAUCAGAAGAGAUACGAGUAUCAUAAAGUAAAGUAGUAGUAGUGUUAUCAACCUCGGCCAGAGAUCCUUUCUCGACUCCCUGCGAGAAAGCAAUCCCAGAGCCAUACUAUCCAGUUACCACCUCAAGUAUCCAGUUCUAGUUGUAUCGAUCGGGAUACAACUCCGAAUGUCCGUUACCAUAGGACAGGCUAUCGAUAAAUGUUUUCUUCCCUGCAAGGGUGCACCAACUUACCCACCACGCUUGAUUAACUCCGUCCGAACACACUUUCCUGGGUCAUGCCUGGCCUCGGCCAAACAAUACACCGCAACCCGACCUAGGCUUAAUAGAGAGGUGAGCAUGCCGGACUAAACCUAUGCCCCCAGGGGUCAUGGGCCAUCGCCCCGGGAACUCCUGCACAUUGCGAACGCGGCUGGUGAGCAGACCUAGCUACCUCCUUAAAAAAGGCAGGUGCUUACCUAUCCAAUCCGGCGCGCGCCGCUCAGUCGCUAACGUCUAUUAAGCUUCGGCUGAUGCAUACGACGUAGAACGCCCAUACUAUGCCCACGUGAUGGUUAGUGCUAUCAGGCAAGAGGCCCCUCGGAUCAAAUAUCCAAAUCGUAGUGGAUUAGGAACGCACGGUAACAAGCAGAGACUCACAAAAGAUGUGAUCCCGUUGCCCCGUCUCGAGGACUUGCGGCAAGGGCUAGGAAUGCCUGGCCAUGCCUCGUAAUUAUCUCGCGGGCACCCUCCAGGUCAACCCGUCUCCACAUCACUCGCGGGUACCCCUCAGGGUCGACCCACCUUUCCAAGUAACACUUGUAAAGUCCAAGUAUUUGUGUGUCCAAACAUCAAGGGGAAAACCUGAGGAAUCACCCCCGGCGGAUUCCACUCGAUGUAAUCAUCAAGGUGAACGUAAGAGGAUCCACCCUCGAGGUUCACACUUGAGGGGUUGCACGACAGAGUCAUAUCUGAAGUGGUUAAGGCGGAAUCACCCUCGAUGACCACGACCGUAUAACUACACUAACGGGUUAACAUCAGAAGUGCGGAUGAGGUCUCACCCUCGACAGUCAAUAGUAACCCAGUAAUGUCGAGCAACUAAGGGGAAGUGAUGUGCGGUGCCGGGGCCUGGUAUUAGAUCCCGUUGAUCGGGUCUUCGAUGAUGAAGCAGGGGAAACAAGGACAAGGUGGGGGUCACUGAUGGAUCACUAACCAACCUAUACUAAGAAGUUUAGGAUAAGCAGGUAAGGUAACAAUAAGCAGGUUACAAAAGCAGGCUAUGCAUCAGAAUAGGAGCAAACAAUAACAGUAGCAAAAUCUAAUGCAAGCAUGAGAGAAUUGAAUGGGCAAUAUCGGGAUGAUCAAAGGGGGGGCUUGCCUGGAAGCUCUGCGGCAAAGGCAGGGUCGUUAGUGGUGUCGUCGGUUACGUAGUCGAUAACAGGGGCAGCAUCAGUCUCAGGGUCUACCGCCGAGAAGAAGGAGAUAAAACAGUAAAUAUAAAGCAAACAUAGCAUCACAAAGCAUAACGUGGCAAUAUGCUGUGCCGGGUGUGACCUAACGUAUGGCUACACGAUAUAGGUGAAGGGGGAAAUCAACCGGGAAUGUUUUCCUAGUUCCGGACCUGUGUUAGACAGAUGACCGGAGGUGGAAUGUUCCAUGUUCAAAUAGUUAAGAGGCAUCUGACAAGUAAACGGACUGCAUAUUUGGAUUAUCCCGUCGUUCUGAGCAACUUUCAUGUAGAAAACAUUUUCAUCCGAGUUACGGUUUAAGUUCUAUGAAUUUCCAUAGUUUUAGCAAUCUUCAGAAAUUCCUAGAAUUACUUUAAUCUCGAAAAUCUCCAGAAAACGUUGGGUGCACCAGGUGCACUGCACCCAGAGUGCACCAGAGGGGCUGACAGUGGGGCCAGUCAACUACAGACAUAGCAGUUGACUGGUCAAUGGUUGACUAGUCAGUGGGUCUAGUGGGACCCGCAUGUCAUUGACUCAACGCUAGUUAACAUUUUUCUUAAACAAAACUUAACUGAUUAGUUAGUGGCCUCGGGCCCACUGUCAUGGACUAAUAGGGGGGUUAGUGCCUAAUUACGAGCCACGUCAGCGCCUAGUCGGCGACUAACGCCGGCGCUAAUCCAGCGCAGCGGAGGAGCUCCGGCCGGUCGAUUUCGGCAGCAGGUGGACGCGCGACGGGGUCCGUUGGGCAGCGGCCGUUGCGGCGCGCCCAACGGUGGGGACGGCCGGCGCCGGGGUGGACUACAGGGGGGCGGCGGGCGACUGCAGCCGCAGCACAAAGCAGCGAGAGGCGGCGGUGGCAGCGAGCGGGGACGGGGCCCAGGCGCGGCGCGGGCGGCUGCCUCGCGCGGGUGUGCACCCGCUGAAGGGGUGGACAUGGGAGCAGAGCAGCGGCGGCAACGCGGCAGCAUCAAGCAGAAGCAACGGUGGCGUAUUGCGUCUACGACACGGAAAGAAGGGGGAAGCAGAGGUAGGACGCGGGGUGCUCACCGCGUAGGCACAAUGAGGCCCCG